rnacentral:rRNA from 1 species
GACGAACGCUGGCGGCGUGCUUAACACAUGCAAGUCGAACGGAAAGGCCCUGCUUGCAGGGUGCUCGAGUGGCGAACGGGUGAGUAACUCGUGGGUGAUCUGCCCCUUACUUUGGGAUAAGCCUGGGAAACUGGGUCUAAUACUGGAUAGGACCAUGCUGUAGGUGGUGUGGUGGAAAGAUUAGUUUCGGUAAGGGAUGAGCUCGCGGCCUAUCAGCUUGUUGGUGGGGUAAUGGCCUACCAAGGCGUCGACGGGUAGCCGGCCUGAGAGGGUGGACGGCCACAUUGAGACUGAGAUACGGCCCAGACUCCUACGGGAGGCAGCAGUGGGGAAUAUUGCACAAUGGGCGCAAGCCUGAUGCAGCGACGCCGCGUGGGGGAUGACGGCCUUCGGGUUGUAAACUCCUUUCAGCCAUGACGAAGCCCUUGUGGUGACGGUAGUGGUAGAAGAAGCACCGGCUAACUACGUG